CUGUUUUGAAAACACUAUAAAGUACUCCUUGGUGCCAGUUCUUCCAGGUCUAUCAUUCAUCCUCCUUGAGAAAGCAUUACAAUUGCCAUACUGAAGAGAAAACACUUACUGAUAAACUCCAUUGUAGACGAGAAGCUGAGUCACCAAUGUGGCAAGAAAUGCAAUUCCAAUUCCCAGGCCGAAGCCACUUCGAGAUCGAUCAAACGUCCACCACAGCCCAAUUGAAAGUGCAGCAAGUGUGAGGGACAACUGGAUGUUGUUGGCAAAAUCCACUUUCUGUGAGCGUCGUUAAGGAACAGUUUCGGAAGAUCAGCGGAACACUGACUAAUUGUUUUGGGGUUUUGCCUCAAAGGGAUUGCCAGUGUCUUGGAGGAAAGGAGGAGGAAAUGCCAAAUGGUGCUUCUGCGGACUGAAUCAAGCCCAUGAUGUUUCCCCUAAUAAGGUUUCUCUCCGGCUGCAUUUGUUCCGACAUACCU